GCUAGUGGUCUUGGGUUCUAGAAGAAACCAGUCUGAGCGAGCCAGUGAGUAGCACCUGUCCAUGGCCUCUGCGUCAGCUCCUGCCUCUGGAUCCCUGCCUUGUUUGAGUUCCUGUCCUGACUUCCUUCCAUGUCCUGACUUCCUUCCAUGAUGUGGACGGUAAACCAAAGAAACCUUUUUCUCCCAAGUUGCUCUGGUCACGAUGCUCCAUCAAACCAAUGGUAACGCUGACUAAGACACAAUAGGUCAAGAAAUACCUGUAAUUAUUAUUUUGUAAUAAUCCAUCGUGUAAUGACGACAUCCUUUGUGAAAUAGCUGGAAGGGAUUUUAUUUGUUUGUUUUUCAUGAUUCUUUGGUCAAGUACAUCUGAGAAAAGACGAUAUAAAGUGACACAAGAUGGUCACGGAUGAGUUCCCCAUUUAGGGAUUUUUUUUUUUUUUAAACACAGUCAUUCUGGAGGGUAGUGAAAGGCAAUAAUGUUUCAAUUGUUUAUUUACUUCACUGAGUGGAGGUGGAGCGCUAUAGCCUUCCCUUGAGGUCAGAAGAUAAAUCUCUGUAGUGCAUUCUCUACAACCUUCUUGUAGCAUGCAAAGCUGCAGUUCUCGUCUUCAGGCCUUCCCCAAAGCUCCUCUACUCUGGGUGUAGCCUGUCCCCCUAAAAAUGAUCUUAAAAAAUACUUAUUGCCAUCUUUGGAAUGCCAUGUUUUGGGAUCCACUGGCAACUGCUGUCACCCAACAUCAAAUGGAGGUGGCAUAGUUCAACGUAAGCUCUUGACGUACACAAAGGAACAGGCUGGCGCCGUUCCUUUCCGUUUACCUGUCACAGAGUAGAGAGGGGAUGAGUAAUAAUGGGAGAAAUAUAUGUGUGCGUUCAUGGAGCUUACAACCGUGAACUGGGACAUCAACCACCGGUAGAGAAAAAGCCAGCUCUUCGCUGAGGGAUUCAAGGGAAGGAAAAGGUUCCCACAGAGUUGGCCUUCACCAACAAGAAAGGCUUUCCUUCUCUGGGUGGUGGCCUCUCGCCAUCCAAGAUGGCGACUCACAGUCAAUGUGGAGGGCAGCCAGCCAGGCUCAGCGUUUGCUGAGGCUCCAGUCUUCAUGGAUUCCAUAUCAAACUGAGGUUCCUUCUCUGUGGACGCACAAGGUCUCACCAAAACAGCCAGAACAGGAAGGACUGUGUUCUUUGUCUCCAGCAAGCUAAGGAUUCAGGCAAGGAACCCUACGGAAGAUGCCCUAUAUUGGAAAGUCCCUUAAAACCGAGCAGGAUGGUGGCAGGCUCGCAUUCAGAAGGAAACUUGCCUCUGCUGCUGAAAAUGAAAGCGGGAUUUAUCAGCCACACUCCUUUAAAACAACCACCACCUUAGCGACAUGGGGGCCAGCCGCAUCCAGGAAACGCCGCCCGAAACCAGCAAUUGUGCUUUAAGCUCUCUGCAUUUUCAAACACAUGGAUAGUUGGUGUAAAAAUAUAUUCUUUUCCUGCAGGGACGUGACUGUAAUUAGUGUGUGCCAAAACUCUCUCUCUCUCUCUCUCUCUCUCUCUCUCUCUCUCUCUCUCUCUCUCUCUCUCUCCCUCUCCCUGAGAUUUCAUUGUCUUAUCUCCUUACAGCAUCUUAAUGCGAUUUUAUUUUACUUUGUCAAAGUCCUAUUAGCAUAAAUGUGUUCUCCAUAGCAAACAGUGUUCUUUUUUAUGCAAAACAGGAUUCAGCUGACUCGAAUAAAGCAGCUUGCAGUCUAUUAGACUACAA